rnacentral:piRNA from 1 species
AAUUGGGAGUCGUGAGUUCGA